rnacentral:rRNA from 1 species
CAACUUUCAACAACGGAUCUCUUGGCUCUCGCAUCGAUGAARAACGCASCGAAAUGCGAUAAGUAAUGUGAAUUGCARAAUUCAGUGAAUCAUCGAAUCUUUGAACGCACCUUGCGCCCCUUGGUAUUCCGAGGGGCAUGCCUGUUUGAGGUGUCAUGUAAUUCUCAMU